UGACUAAAAUCUCAUUUUUUACCCGAAGGGAUAGUUGUAUACUAUAUAACAGUCAGACAGAGGUGGUCCAGCCCUUCCUUGUACAUACAUACAGAAGGGAUAGUUGUAUACUGUAUAACAGUCAGACAGAGGUGGUCCAGCCCUUCCUUGUACAUACAUACAGAAGGGAUAGUUGUAUACUAUAUAACAGUCAGACAGAGGUGGUCCAGCCCUUCCUUGUACAUACAUACAGAAGGGAUAGUUGUAUACUAUAUAACAGUCAGACAGAGGUGGUCCAGCCCUUCCUUGUACAUACAUACAGAAGGGAUAGUUGUAUACUGUAUAACAGUCAGACAGAGGUGGUCCAGCCCUUCCUUGUACAUACAUACAGAAGGGAUAGUUGUAUACUAUAUAACAGUCAGACAGAGGUGGUCCAGCCCUUCCUUGUACAUACAUACAGAAGGGAUAGUUGUAUACUAUAUAACAGUCAGACAGAGGUGGUCCAGCCCUUCCUUGUACAUACAUACAGAAGGGAUAGUUGUAUACUAUAUAACAGUCAGACAGAGGUGGUCCAGCCCUUCCUUGUACAUACAUACAGAAGGGAUAGUUGUAUACUAUAUAACUGUCAGACAGAGGUGGUACAACCCUUCCUUGUACAUACAUACAGAAGGGAUAGUUGUAUACUAUAUAACAGUCAGACAGAGGUGGUCCAGCCCUUCCUUGUACAUACAUACAGAAGGGAUAGUUGUAUACUGUAUAACAGUCAGACAGAGGUGGUCCAGCCCUUCCUUGUACAUACAUACAGAAGGGAUAGUUGUAUACUAUAUAACAGUCAGACAGAGGUGGUCCAGCCCUUCCUUGUAC